rnacentral:lncRNA from 1 species
GGAAAAGAAAAAAGAAAUCGAUCUUCAUAUUGGCAUGCUAGAUGAAGCUAAAGAAAGAAGGGGCCUAUCUACUGAAGAACGGCAAGAAAGAAUUAGCCUGAAGGAGUGACUUGACACGAUAUUGACAAAGAGGAAGUAAUGUGGAAGCAACGCUCAAGAAGCCAAUGGAUUCACGAAGGCGAUCGUAACACAAAAUUUUUUUCACAUUUUGACGAGCA